rnacentral:rRNA from 1 species
UAGGGAAUCUUCGGCAAUGGGGGCAACCCUGACCGAGCAACGCCGCGUGAGUGAAGAAGAUCUUCGGAUCGUAAAACUCUGUUGUUAGAGAAGAACACGAGUGAGAGUAACUGUUCAUUCGAUGACGGUAUCUAACCAGCAAGUCACGGCUAACUACGUGCCAG